GGGAGAGCCAGAUGUUGAGACAGGCCUUCCAAGGCAGGUCACAGCAGGAGACAGGGACCGAGGCUGUCAGGAAGGGCCGCCAAAACGGGGGCUCCUGCACCUCAAGGUCUCAGCAGGGGUUCUGAGUGUCAGGAGCCUGGUCCCCAGGCCCUGUUGAAGACACUGUUCAAGGGGUGGGGGUCCUGCCUCAUUACUGCCAGGUUCUGUUGGCCACGCGGGGACUUUUCUUCUGCACAGAAGCUUCUUCCAGAAUCUCUUCGCCUAUCUCAGCUGAACAAGUAUUCUCCAAAAAAUCCAGAUGAACAGAUGAGGACAGUGUCCCGGCAGGUUGUAGAGAGGCGAGCAUCCAUCGGUGCCCACCAUCUGGACCGACGUCCUGAAGCCUAGGAACGUGGCCCCUGCUGCUGCCAGCCCCCAGGCCACA